CCAAGUCAGGCGGGGCCACCCGCUGAGUUUA
rnacentral:rRNA from 1 species